rnacentral:tRNA from 1 species
GGAGCGGUGGCCGAGAGGCUAGGCACUGGAUUGUCGAUCCAGUUUACGCGAGUUCGAGUCUCGUCCGUUCCG